rnacentral:tRNA from 1 species
CUGAAUAAGCGGGCCUUGAUCCCGCAAAAAUUAGUUAACAGCUAACUACCCUAACCAGCGGGCUUCUACUCG